UGGGGAAUAUUGGACAAUGGGCGAAAGCCUGAUCCAGCCAUGCCGCGUGUGUGAAGAAGGUCUUCGGAUUGUAAAGCACUUUAAGUUGGGAGGAAGGGCAUUAACCUAAUACGUUAGUGUUUUGACGUUACCGACGGAAUAAGCACCGGCUAACUCUGUGCCAGCAGCCGCGGUAAUACAGAGGGUGCAAGCGUUAAUCGGAAUUACUGGGCGUAAAGCGCGCAUAGGUGGUUUGUUAAGUUGGAUGUGAAAUCCCCGGGCUCAACCUGGGAACUGCAUUCAAAACUGACUGACUAGAGUAUGGUAGAGGGUGGUGGAAUUUCCUGUGUAGCGGUGAAAUGCGUAGAUAUAGGAAGGAACACCAGUGGCGAAGGCGACCACCUGGACUAAUACUGACACUGAGGUGCGAAAGCGUGGGGAGCAAACA
rnacentral:rRNA from 1 species